AACGAACGCUGGCGGCAUGCCUAACACAUGCAAGUCGAACGAGGCCUUCGGGUCUAGUGGCGCACGGGUGCGUAACGCGUGGGAACCUGCCCUUAGGUUCGGAAUAACUCCCCGAAAGGGGGGCUAAUACCGGAUAAUGUCUUCGGACCAAAGAUUUAUCGCCUUUGGAUGGGCCCGCGUUGGAUUAGCUAGUUGGUAGGGUAAAAGCCUACCAAGGCGACGAUCCAUAGCUGGUCUGAGAGGAUGAUCAGCCACACUGGGACUGAGACACGGCCCAGACUCCUACGGGAGGCAGCAGUGGGGAAUAUUGGACAAUGGGCGAAAGCCUGAUCCAGCAAUGCCGCGUGAGUGAUGAAGGCCUUAGGGUUGUAAAGCUCUUUUACCCGGGAUGAUAAUGACAGUACCGGGAGAAUAAGCUCCGGCUAACUCCGUG
rnacentral:rRNA from 1 species